CAGUCGCCGCGGGAACACGUAGGGUGCGAGCGUUAAUCGGAAUUACUGGGCGUAAAGCGUGCGCAGGCGGUUCGUUAAGACAGAUGUGAAAUCCCCGGGCUUAACCUGGGAACUGCAUUUGUGACUGGCGAGCUAGAGUAUGGCAGAGGGGGGUAGAAUUCCACGUGUAGCAGUGAAAUGCGUAGAGAUGUGGAGGAAUACCGAUGGCGAAGGCAGCCCCCUGGGCCAAUACUGACGCUCAUGCACGAAAGCGUGGGGAGCAAACAGAAUUAGAUACCCCGGUAGUCCCUGUCUCUUAUAC
rnacentral:rRNA from 1 species